GGAAAGUCGCACGGUACAGGGUGAUAGUCCCGUACACAAAAAUGCAUAUGUUGUGAGUUCGAUGAGUAGGGCGGGACACGUGACAUCCUGUCUGAAUAUGGGGGGACCAUCCUCCAAGGCUAAAUACUCCUGACUGACCGAUAGUGAACCAGUACCGUGAGGGAAAGGCGAAAAGAACCCCGGCGAGGGGAGUGAAAUAGAACCUGAAACCGUGUACGUACAAGCAGUGGGAGCACCUUCGUGGUGUGACUGCGUACCUUUUGUAUAAUGGGUCAGCGACUUAUAUUUUGUAGCAAGGUUAACCGAAUAGGGGAGCCGUAGGGAAACCGAGUCUUAACUGGGCGAAUAGUUGCAAGGUAUAGACCCGAAACCCGGUGAUCUAGCCAUGGGCAGGUUGAAGGUUGGGUAACACUAACUGGAGGACCGAACCGACUAAUGUUGAAAAAUUAGCGGAUGACUUGUGGCUGGGGGUGAAAGGCCAAUCAAACCGGGAGAUAGCUGGUUCUCCCCGAAAGCUAUUUAGGUAGCGCCUCGUGAACUCAUCUUCGGGGGUAGAGCACUGUUUCGGCUAGGGGGUCAUCCCGACUUACCAAACCGAUGCAAACUCCGAAUACCGAAGAAUGUUAUCACGGGAGACACACGGCGGGUGCUAACGUCCGUCGUGAAGAGGGAAACAACCCAGACCGCCAGCUAAGGUCCCAAAGUCAUGGUUAAGUGGGAAACGAUGUGGGAAGGCAUAGACAGCCAGGAUGUUGGCUUAGAAGCAGCCAUCAUUUAAAGAAAGCGUAAUAGCUCACUGGUCGAGUCGGCCUGCGCGGAAGAUGUAACGGGGCUAAACCAUGCACCGAAGCUGCGGCAGCGACGCUUAGGCGUUGUUGGGUAGGGGAGCGUUCUGUAAGCCGUUGAAGGUGACCUGUGAGGGUUGCUGGAGGUAUCAGAAGUGCGAAUGCUGACAUAAGUAACGAUAAUGCGGGUGAAAAACCCGCACGCCGGAAGACCAAGGGUUCCUGUCCAACGUUAAUCGGGGCAGGGUGAGUCGACCCCUAAGGCGAGGCUGAAAAGCGUAGUCGAUGGGAAACAGGUUAAUAUUCCUGUACUUGGUGUUACUGCGAAGGGGGGACGGAGAAGGCUAGGCUAGCCGGGCGACGGUUGUCCCGGUUUAAGCAUGUAGGCGGAGUGACUUGGUAAAUCCGGUUGCUUAUCA
rnacentral:rRNA from 1 species